rnacentral:tRNA from 1 species
UGCGCCUGUAGCUCAGUUGGACAGAGUACUUGGCUUCGAACCAAGGGGUCGGGAGUUCGAAUCUUCCCGGGCGCGCCAU